rnacentral:rRNA from 1 species
GGGUUAAGUCCCGCAACGAGCGCAACCCUUAUCCUUGUUGCCAGCGGUCCGGCCGGGAAACUCAAAGGAGACUGCCAGUGAUAAACUGGAGGAAGGUGGGGAUGACGUCAAGUCAUCAUGGCCCUUACGACCAGGGCUAUACACAUGCUACAAUGGCGCAUACAAAGAGAAGCGACCUCGCGAGAGCAAGCGGACCUCAUAAAGUGCGUCGUAGUCCGGAUUGGAGUCUGCAACUCGACUCCAUGAAGUCGGAAUCGCUAGUAAUCGUGGAUCAGAAUGCCACGGUGAAUACGUUCCCGGGCCUU